AUUCAGAAUUCAGAGACCUCUACUAGGAAUUUCAAAAUAGGCUUUGCAUAUGUUUGUUAAGACAAACAUAUAUUCAUUUGCAUAAAAGUAGCAUUGAUUUCCAAGAGAUUCACCAAUGUGUUAAAAAAAAAAAACAAUAAGUAGAAUGCUAUGUUCUAAAGCUGUAUCUUUGCCUCAAUGAGAAGCUUUAGAAGCAGUGCUUUUAUGUGAUCAGGGUAAUUUCUAUACAAAUAACCCAUGAUAAUACCACUUUGAAAAACUUUCUGGUGCUACCAGGAAGGAAGGAGCAUGAGUAGGUAUUUGAAUGAAAUUCCUCCUUCCUCUGAUAGCUGACAGCAUUUAUUUAAGUGUAGGUGUUACCAAAGAGAUAAAAAUAUAGACUUACUGAAACUUUGGUGCUUGGACAUAAUAUUAAAACAUAUUACAAAAACAGACUUCUUACACCAGAGGAAUAGAAGAUAAAACACAUUAUCUUCCCUCUUUAUCAUGAUAUCUUUAAAGCGUAAAUCAUUUUAGGCACUCCAAAAGUAUUUUAUAAAUAGUUGAAAUAUUCUGUCCACCUACAAAGAACAUGAGGUUUUUCAUAAUUGGAUUACUAUUGGUUUAUGUUGAGCUGGCUGCCUCCUGUAGUUCUAUUACUUUGGUUCCAAUUUUAUUCAUAAAAACCUGGGUUUAAUGAUGUAGCCUAUGACUAUAAAAUAAAUAAAGCUAAUGAGAUAUAAGGGGUUUGUAUGCAUGGCUUAGGCCUCUUUUGGACCCAACCUAGCUUUACAAGAAUAGAUUCAAACAUUCAUUUACAAAAUUCCAUAAUUUUUAAAAGAUGUUUUAGAAGACCUGAGCUCCUUGGAGGUACUUCAAGAACCAUGAUAGGAACCAAGAUAAGGCUAAGGAAGUGUAAUUUUUGAUGAUACAAGUUUCCUGAAGAGGCAGGAAUAGAACAGAAUGGAGAACACAGGUGAAAACACAAAGAGGAAUAUGUCUUUCACUGGAUUCCAAAGGACGAAGGCAAAAAUAUAUACAGUAAGAUUGCAGGUGGGGUUUCAUGAAGAUAAGAAGUUCCUACCUGAAGACUACUUUUUUGGUAAAGUAAAAGGUGAGAGA
rnacentral:lncRNA from 10 species